GUUAGCUAAGGGCUUUAAUAAUUUGUUGGUGGAAAGUGAUUGUUUGCCAGCUAUUUAAGUAAUCACUAAAGUAAUAAUUUGUUUUUGGGUUUUAUUAAAAUUGGGUUAUUUUAGUUUCAAUAUUUAUUUUUAACUUAGUCAUCCCUAUGAUCAAUAAAUGCAAAUGUUAGGGAUGAAAAGAGAAAACGUCCCCAAUAUUCUCAAAUUUGAGCUUGAUUUCCACUAAUAGAGUAAUAGUACUCUCUCUUUUGUUGGGCUCUCUCAAACUUGAAGUCUAUUUUGUUGGAAG
rnacentral:lncRNA from 1 species